rnacentral:misc_RNA from 1 species
AAGUCGUAACAAGGUUUCCGUAGGUGAACCUGCGGAAGGAUCAUUAACACGUAUCCACGUUAUCAACCAAAGAGAACCUGUUUUCCCGUCUCCCUUGUGCAAAGAAUGAAUUGGAACCAGUCAGAGGGAGUGAUGGGACACCUUCGGGGUCGGCCUUCCUGGUAUUUACACUUGUUGUAGCAGUUGCCGCAGUAAAAUGCAGUAGCUGUUGCUUGUUGUGCAGACAAUUGAAUCUUUGUGGAAGGCUAUUUUCCUACUACUUUUUUCUCCAUCAUGAUUGUGGUAGUAGGAAGUCAAUCCAAUACAAUUUUUACCCCCUCUUUUUGCUAGUUGACUUUUUUAUCUGUGUUGUUUUGCGCUUGCGCAUGAUGGCACACGUUUAAUUACUUGAACGUUAAAAACAUACAACUCUUAGCAAUGGAUAUCUUGGUUCUC